UACGAAGGGGGCUAGCGUUGCUCGGAAUCACUGGGCGUAAAGCGCACGUAGGCGGAUUGCUAAGUCAGGGGUGAAAUCCUGGAGCUCAACUCCAGAACUGCCUUUGAUACUGGCGAUCUUGAGUCCGGGAGAGGUGAGUGGAACUGCGAGUGUAGAGGUGAAAUUCGUAGAUAUUCGCAAGAACACCAGUGGCGAAGGCGGCUCACUGGCCCGAUACUGACGCUGAGGUGGCGAAAGCGUGGGGAGCAAACAGG
rnacentral:rRNA from 1 species